UCUUCUUUUUCUUUCUUUCUUCAUCUUUCCUCUUCUUCUUAUCUCUUCCUCUGUUCAAAAUCAAGAGAUGGUUUUGAGAUACGACUUGAGAGAAUUAAUUUUUAAGAGAGAGCAGAUUAAGUAGAAGAUGAUGAUGAUGAUGUUGUAACUGCUUGUACACGAGAUGAAGAAGAUAAAGAUGAUUAUGUUAAUCUGAGAAGAUCAAAUUAGGGUUUAGAUAUCGUUUUGAGAUUUCAUGGAAUUAAUUAGUAUAUUGAGAUCCUGAUAGAUGAAUUUCGAAUGGGUUGAUGUUUAAUUGGAUCUUUGAAGUUGAAUCAGUGGAUAAUCACUGAAGAGAUUUGUGUUAGGGUUUAAUUUGAGUUGCAAUUCGAAGCUAGGGUUUGUAAGAAGAACUCGAGGAAUGAUUUGGAGAUGAAAUUAUUGUUCUAGGAUGAUGGGUUGAGAUGGGUAAUGAGUUAAUUGAUGAUGUAGAUUUGAUUUGAUAAUGGACUUGAGUAUCUUGGAUUUAGGGUUCUUGAGUUGGGAUGCAGAUGGAAAAUACGAGACUGUUGUUGGAUGAAAUAAGAAGACUUCAGAGUUGGUACAUGAGUGUUGAUGUUCACAGGUACAAGGGGAAUGAAUGGCAGUGAGGCAUAUGAAGUAUGAAUUGCAGAUAGUAAUGAAGCUGGUGUUGUGGGUGUUCUGUAAAGUUGCAGAUGGACUGAGAUGAAGUUGGUGUUUUUAUAUUGCUCAAAGAAUUGAUUUACAUGGAUUGUAGAGGUUUGAAUGUGCAGGAAGCUUAAGUAAUAAGAUGAACUUAGAAUGAUUUAUGAGUUGAGGACAAGAGUUGAUCUGAGUUUGGUCUGGUGGAGAUGUGAUAUGAAUUGCAGUUGCAGAACAAUGGUAACUAAAGAUAGUAGUGGUAUGUGUGGUUGAGGCUUGGAAACUGCAUUUGCUUGGAAACUGCAUUUGCAGUUAGUCUAUAUUAACAACGAUCGAUUCAAAGGAUGAACCGGUGGAUCGUGGAUCUCGAGGUACACGUGGCUUGUCAUCAAAAGAGUUUCAGAGACAGAUCAGAGUUACGCAGCGGAAGCUUUGUGGCGUUGAGUCUUCUGUUAUGUUUAUUACGUUGUAUAUUGUAUUUGCAAACCAAAUGACUGUUGCAUAUGUAUCACUUGAGAGGAGUACUUGUAUAUAUAUUUCUGAGCGGGUCUAGUUUUUGGGUUAAGUUUUGUAGCAGAUUUCUUAAUUGAAUGUUUAAGUAAAUGAUUUAGAUUCGUAGAGCC